AAAAAAACGAAGACAAGACAUGCUUUACAGCAUCCUCAGCAUAAUUUAGGUCCCACUACCUCGUCUUUGCCAUUUAUGAGUCCUCCUCCUCCUCAGCAUACUUCAGGUUCCACUACUUCGUCUGCGCAGGUGCCAAUUAUGAGUCAUCCUCCUCCUCCUCAGCAGACUUCACUGCCACCCGGCUUGUUCCUUCCAAUGAAUCUACGAAGGUAGUUGUGGAUUGUGUUAAAGCAUUUUAUCGAGAUGCUUGGAGUAAAUGGUCAGAUAUACCGUACAUUUACAGAGACCAGAUGUGGAAUCAAUUUAGGACAAGAUGUGCAUGGCUUUCCAAAUAUCAUCAGCAAAUAAGUCAUAAUUUCGAGAAAAAAGAGGCUCGACUCGAUCAAAAGAUGCCCGGUUAGAUACAAAAAGACAUAUGGGAUAGACUUAAUGUGACGUGGACCUCUGAAGAAUUUAAGAAGAGGAGCAAUGCUGCAAAGGCUGUCCGAGCCUCCAAUACGGGUGGCUCAUUGCAUACUGGGGGUUCAGUUAGUAUGGAGACCCAUCGAAGGAGAAUUGAAAAGGAAAAAAAAAGACUUGUGACUUAUGCUGAGGUUUUUGAGGACAAACAUAUGAAAACGAAAAGGACGGUACAAGAGAAUGGGUUGAGCC